rnacentral:rRNA from 1 species
AGAAUAUUGCACAAUGGACGAAAGUCUGAUGCAGCGACACCGCGUGAAGGAUGAAGGCCCUAGGGUUGUAAACUUCUUUUAUUAGGGAAUAGCAAGGAAGGUACCUAAUGAAUAAGCAACGGCUAACUACGUGCCAGCAGCCGCGGUAAUACGUAGGUUGCAAACGUUGUCCGGAAUCACUGGGCGUAAAGGGUCCGUAGGCGGUUUGAUAAGUCUCAUAUGAAAGCUUCAAGCUCAACUUGGAGAUGUUGUGAGAUACUGUCAGACUAGAGACUGUUAGAGGUAAGUGGAAUUCCAGGUGUAGUGGUGAAAUGCGUAGAUAUCUGGAGGAACACCAGUGGCGAAAGCGACUUACUGGGACAGUUCUGACGCUAAGGGACGAAAGCGUGGGGAGCGAACCGGAUUAGAUACCCGGGUAGUCCACGCUGUAAACGAUGAUUGCUAGGUUUUCGGGGCAUCGACCCCUCGUGAGCCGAAGUUAACGCGUUAAGCAAUCCGCCUGAGUAGUACGGCCGCAAGGCUAAAACUCAAAGAAAUUGACGGGGGACCGCACAAGCAGCGGAGCGUGUGGUUUAAUUCGAUGGUAAGCGAAGAACCUUACCAGGGUUUGACAUGUAAGUAGUACUGAACCGAAAGGGGAUGGACCCGCAAGGGAGCUUACACAGGUGUUGCAUGGUUGUCGUCAGCUCGUGCCGUGAGGUGUUGGGUUAAGUCCCGCAACGAGCGCAACCCUCUUUGUUAGUUGCACUCUCUAACGAUACUGCCCUUAAAAGGGAGGAAGGUGGGGAUGACGUCAAAUCAUCAUGGCUCUUACACCCUGGGCUACACACACGCUACAAUGGCAAGUACAGACGGUCGCCAACCCGCGAGGGGGAGCUAAUCCGAUAAAACUUGUCUCAGUUGGGAUUGCAGGCUGAAAUUCGCCUGCAUGAACGUGGAGUUGCUAGUAAACGCAGGUCAGCACACUGCGUUGAAUACGUUCC